UCACUGUACAAGUAUUCUGGAUGUGAGG
rnacentral:piRNA from 1 species